rnacentral:rRNA from 1 species
GCAACCUGGCGGCGUGCUUACCAUGCAAGUCGAACGGUAAGGCCCCUUUGGGGGUACACGAGUGGCGAACGGGUGAGUAACACGUGAGCAACCUGCCCUUGACUCUGGAAUAACAGUUGGAAACAGCUGCUAAUACUGGAUAUUCAUUGUCCUCCUCCUGGGGGGUGGUGGAAAGCUCCGGCGGUCAGGGAUGGGCUCGCGGCCUAUCAGCUUGUUGGUGAGGUAAUGGCUCACCAAGGCUUCGACGGGUAGCCGGCCUGAGAGGGCGACCGGCCACACUGGGACUGAGAUACGGCCCAGACUCCUACGGGAGGCAGCAGUGGGGAAUAUUGCACAAUGGGCGCAAGCCUGAUGCAGCAACGCCGCGUGCGGGAUGACGGCCUUCGGGUUGUAAACCGCUUUCAGUAGGGACGAAGCUAACGUGACGGUACCUACAGAAGAAGGACCGGCUAACUACGUGCCAGCAGCCGCGGUGAU